GAUGAACGCUGGCGGCGUGCCUAAUACAUGCAAGUCGAGCGAACAGACGAGGCGCUUGCUCCUCUGACGUUAGCGGCGGACGGGUGAGUCACACGUGUAUAACCUACUUAUAAGACUGGUAUAACUUCGGGAAACCGGAGCUAAUACCGGAUAAUAUAUUGAACCGCAUGGUUCAAUAGUGAAAUACGGCUUUGCUGUCUCUUAUCGCUGGUUCCGCGCCGCUUUAGCUAGUUGGUAAGUUAACGGCUUACCAAGGCAACGAUGCGUAACCGACCGGAGAGAGGGGUAGGCGACAUGGGAGCGGGAACGCGGACCAGACGCCUACGGGAGGGAGCAGUAGGGAAUGUGACGCAGUGGGCGAGAGCAUGGCGGAACGACGCGGCGUGAGAGGUGAAGGUCUUCGGAUCGUAAAACUCUGUUAUUAGGGGAAAACAGAUGUGUAAGUAAAUGUGCACGUCUUGACGGUACCGAAUCAGAAAGCCACGGCUAACUACGUG
rnacentral:rRNA from 1 species